CACCAAUAGAGACUUCAGAAAGAAAGAGAUGGACGCUGUUCCACUGCUAUGACCCCAGGCUGUGGGAUUGGUGGUGGUGUAGGGAUCUCUGUAUUUGUGAUCAUCAGUUGGACCUGGUGUAUAAAAAGAGGACUUGACUGUGACAGCUGAUAAAAAAGUUCUGCAUAAUAGUACAGAGAAUUG
rnacentral:lncRNA from 1 species